AUAAGCAUAUCAAUAAGCGGAGGAAAAGAAACUAACAAGGAUUCCCCUAGUAACUGCGAGUGAAGCGGGAAAAGCUCAAAUUUAAAAUCUGGCGGUCUUUGGCCCGUCCGAGUUGUAGUCUGGAGAAGUGCUUUCCGCGCUGGACCGUGUAUAAGUCUCUUGGAACAGAGCGUCAUAGAGGGUGAGAAUCCCGUCUUUGACACGGACUACCAGUGCUUUGUGAUGCGCUCUCAAAGAGUCGAGUUGUUUGGGAAUGCAGCUCAAAAUGGGUGGUAAAUUCCAUCUAAAGCUAAAUAUUGGCGAGAGACCGAUAGCGAACAAGUACCGUGAGGGAAAGAUGAAAAGCACUUUGGAAAGAGAGUUAAACAGUACGUGAAAUUGCUGAAAGGGAAACGCUUGAAGUCAGUCGCGUCUGCCGGAACUCAGCCUUGCUUUUGCUUGGUGCACUUUCCGGUUGACGGGCCAGCAUCGAUUUUGACCGUCGGAAAAGGGCUAGGGAAAUGUGGCACCUUCGGGUGUGUUAUAGUCUCUAGUCGCAUACGGCGGUUGGGAUCGAGGACCGCAGCGCGCCGCAAGGCAGGGGUUCGCCCACUUUCGCGCUUAGGAUGCUGGCAUAAUGGCUUUAAACGACCCGUCUUGAAACACGGACCAAGGAGUCUAACAAACCUGCGAGUGUUUGGGUGGUAAACCCGAGCGCGUAAUGAAAGUGAAAGUUGAGACCUCUGUCGUGGAGGGCAUCGACGCCCGGACCUGACGUUCUCUGAAGGAUCCGCGGUAGAGCAUGUUUGUUGGGACCCGAAAGAUGGUGAACUAUGCCUGAAUAGGGUGAAGCCAGAGGAAACUCUGGUGGAGGCUCGUAGCGAUUCUGACGUGCAAAUCGAUCGUCAAAUUUGGGUAUAGGGGCGAAAGACUAAUCGAACCAUCUAGUAGCUGGUUCCUGCCGAGUCUCCUCCCUGAGAUAAAA
rnacentral:rRNA from 1 species